CACGUAGGGCGCAAGCGUUGUCCGGAAUUACUGGGCGUAAAGCGCGCGCAGGCGGUCCUUUAAGUCUGAUGUGAAAGCCCACGGCUCAACCGUGGAGGGUCAUUGGAAACUGGGGGACUUGAGUGCAGGAGAGAAGAGUGGAAUUCCCGGUGUAGCGGUGAAAUGCGCAGAUAUCGGGAGGAACACCGGUGGCGAAGGCGGGUCUCUGGGCCGAUACUGACGCUGAGGAGCGAAAGCGUGGGGAGCGAACAGG
rnacentral:rRNA from 1 species